GAAACUUAUAACGUUUUUCAUUCAGAUUAGAUUAGCUGUACAACAGCUGUAAUGUGCAUUGAGUGUACACCAGUUCUGCUACUGAAAAACGCUAAUACUCUUCGUUAAAUCUUUUUUUCUCAUCACAUUUACCGCACCGCACCGACACGGUGAUUUGCGACUAUUCUGUAUGGGGUGAACGCGGAAAUCGUUCACUUUUUAAUACUCGGCUAAUUAAAGCAAUAUAUGAUGCAGUAUCAUUCAAUUUCCAAC